AAGACCAUGAGGACUACACUCAGCUGUCUUCUGGGAUCCAUCAUUUUUCACAGGAUUAUCUCUGGAUUUCUCAUCCUCGAAAAUGUAAAAGGAACACUUGGUCCACAGCAACAGCCCCCUGCUGCAUAUUGGAUUCUUCUGGAAUCGAAAGGU